UACGUAGGGUCCAAGCGUUAUCCGGAAUCACUGGGCGUAAAGCGUGCGUAGGUGGUCUGUUAAGUGAGAUGUGAAAGCGUGUGGCUCAACCAUAUCGUUGUGUUUCAUACUGGCAGACUAGAGGACAGCAGAGGCAAGUGGAAUUACGAGUGUAGCGGUAAUAUGCGUAGAUAUUCGUAGGAACACCAAUGGCGAAGGCAGCUUGCUGGGCUACUCCUUACACUGAGGUACGAAAGCGUGGGGAGCGAACAGG
rnacentral:rRNA from 1 species